rnacentral:rRNA from 1 species
GAGAGUUUGAUCCUGGCUCAGGAUGAACGCUAGCUACAGGCUUAACACAUGCAAGUCGAGGGGCAGCAUGGUCUUAGCUUGCUAAGGCCGAUGGCGACCGGCGCACGGGUGAGUAACGCGUAUCCAACCUGCCUUACACUCUUGGACAGCCUUCUGAAAGGGAGAUUAAUACAAGAUGUUAUCAUGAGUAAGCAUUUUCGCAUGAUUAAAGGUUUACCGGUGUAAGAUGGGGAUGCGUUCCAUUAGAUAGUAGGCGGGGUAACGGCCCACCUAGUCUUCGAUGGAUAGGGGUUCUGAGAGGAAGGUCCCCCACAUUGGAACUGAGACACGGUCCAAACUCCUACGGGAGGCAGCAGUGAGGAAUAUUGGUCAAUGGACGAGAGUCUGAACCAGCCAAGUAGCGUGAAGGAUGAAGGUUCUAUGGAUUGUAAACUUCUUUUAUACGGGAAUAAACGAAUCCACGCGUGGAUUUUUGCAUGUACCGUAUGAAUAAGGAUCGGCUAACUCCGUGCCAGCAGCCGCGGUAAUACGGAGGAUCCGAGCGUUAUCCGGAUUUAUUGGGUUUAAAGGGAGCGUAGAUGGGUUGUUAAGUCAGUUGUGAAAGUUUGCGGCUCAACCGUAAAAUUGCAAUUGAUACUGGCAGUCUUGAGUACAGUUGAGGUAGGCGGAAUUCGUGGUGUAGCGGUGAAAUGCUUAGAUAUCACGAAGAACUCCGAUUGCGAAGGCAGCUUACUAACCUGUAACUGACAUUGAUGCUCGAAAGUGUGGGUAUCAAACAGGAUUAGAUACCCUGGUAGUCCACACGGUAAACGAUGAAUACUCGCUGUAGGCGAUAUACAGUCUGCGGCCAAGCGAAAGCAUUAAGUAUUCCACCUGGGGAGUACGCCGGCAACGGUGAAACUCAAAGGAAUUGACGGGGGCCCGCACAAGCGGAGGAACAUGUGGUUUAAUUCGAUGAUACGCGAGGAACCUUACCCGGGCUUAAAUUGCAACCGAAUAUGGCGGAAACGCUAUAGCUAGCAAUAGCGGUUGUGAAGGUGCUACAUGGUUGUCGUCAGCUCGUGCCGUGAGGUGUCGGCUUAAGUGCCAUAACGAGCGCAACCCUUGCCGAUAGUUACUAACAGGUCAUGCUGAGGACUCUGUCGGGACUGCCAUCGUAAGAUGUGAGGAAGGUGGGGAUGACGUCAAAUCAGCACGGCCCUUACGUCCGGGGCUACACACGUGUUACAAUGGGGGGUACAGAGGGCUGCUACCACGCAAGUGGAUGCCAAUCCCAAAAACCUCUCUCAGUUCGGAUUGAAGUCUGCAACCCGACUUCAUGAAGCUGGAUUCGCUAGUAAUCGCGCAUCAGCCACGGCGCGGUGAAUACGUUCCCGGGCCUUGUACACACCGCCCGUCAAGCCAUGGGAGCCGGGGGUACCUGAAGUGCGUAACCGCAAGGAGCGCCCUAGGGUAAAACUGGUGACUGGGGCUAAGUCGUAACAAGGUAGCCG